UACGUAGGUGGCAAGCGUUGUCCGGAUUUACUGGGCGUAAAGAGCGCGCAGGCGGUCGAUCAAGUCGAGUGUGAAAGCCCCCGGCUCAACUGGGGAGGGUCAUUCGAUACUGAUCGACUCGAAGGCAGGAGAGGGUAGUGGAAUUCCCGGUGUAGUGGUGAAAUGCGUAGAUAUCGGGAGGAACACCAGUGGCGAAGGCGGUUGCCUGGGGCUGUGCUGACGCUGAUGCGCGAAAGCGUGGGGAGCGAUCCGG
rnacentral:rRNA from 1 species